rnacentral:rRNA from 1 species
UACGAAGGGGGCUAGCGUUGCUCGGAAUUACUGGGCGUAAAGGGCGCGUAGGCGGGCGUUUAAGUCAGAGGUUAAAUCCCAGAGCUCAACUCUGGAACUGCCUUUGAUACUGGAGAGCUUGAGUCCGGGAGAGGUGAGUGGAACUGCGAGUGUAGAGGUGAAAUUCGUAGAUAUUCGCAAGAACACCAGUGGCGAAGGCGGCUCACUGGCCCGGUACUGACGCUGAGGUGCGAAAGCGUGGGGAGCAAACAGG